CCCUUAGAUGUCCGGGGCUGCACGCGCGCUACACUGAAGGAAUCAGCGUGCUAGAAAACCUUGUUUGACAUGGCUAGGUAACCCGUUGAAAAUCUUUCGUGAUUGGGAUCGGGACUUGCAAAUGUGUCCCUUGAACGAGGAAUUCCCAGUAAGUGCGGGUCAUAAGCUCGCGCUGAUUACGUCCCUGCCCUUUGUACACACCGCCCGUCGCUGCCCGGAACUGAGCCGUUUCGAGAAGACUGGGGACUGCGAACUUUGGGCUGGAAAACAGCUUUUUGUUUGUGGAAACCACUUUAAUCGCAGCGACUUGAACCGGGCAAAAGUCGUAACA
rnacentral:rRNA from 1 species